CCGAGGAAGAAGCAGCACAGGAGAAUGCAGACGCUGCACACCAGGACACGUGGAGGCUGAGAAGAUCCGAGCUUCUGCCAUGUGGGACCCGGAACAGGCAUUCCCCUCCGGGACCAUCUCUGCAGCCUCUGUCAGCCGUCUUGCUCAGGAGGGUGACUGUUCCACAUGAGCCCAUGGUGACAGGGAGGAAGGAAGACAGUGCUCCCCACCAGCCAGGCUGGAGUCCCUGCAGAAGCCAGAGCAUCUCGGUUUGCACAAAAGCGUGCUCAGUGCAUUCGUCCAUAGACCUUUAUGAAAACUUCGUGGCAGGACAGCUCAGGCCUCCACUCGGCGCAAGAGGAGUCCAGGCCCAGGCCUCCUCAGGCCCAUGGAGGCACUUCCAGUCUUUCAGCAGGAAAAUUGAUACGAAUAGUUCUCAUGAAGUUCAUGCAGGCCCUGAGGUUAGCCACAGAGGGGCCACUGCACCCCUUGGUGCCACUAGAACCCAGUGUCAGGGCCCUCACCAGGAGCAAGAGCC
rnacentral:lncRNA from 13 species